CGUAGGUGAACCUGCGGAAGGAUCAUUAUUGAACAAAGGCUGUGAGCAUGUGCACACCUUUUGCUGCUUCGUUUCAUUCACUUUGGUGUCCAUUCAACGAUCUGAAGCGUUCCGUCCAUCAUUGACUUGGUGGCAUGGCGUUGUGGAUUUCUGGUUGAUGGAGCAAGGCAGUGGACCUGUUUUUUCGGAAGUCUGGGAAGCUGCUCACCAGAACGACAGAGGGUCGUCAUAUUCCUGUACCUGCCGUACCCCAUCCUGCAAUUAAUGUAGGCUGUGCCACUAUGUGGCUCUGACGGUCUGGUCAAACCAUGAUGAAUACAUUUGGCAAAGGUUGUUGCUGGCUCAUUUUGUCCAUUUAUCCUCCUGUGCACAUUUUGUAGAUGCCUGGGAAUGAGAGGUUACUGGCCUCUUGGCUCAGUCUGGGCAUCUAUGCAUUUUCUUACACAUACACGAUUGCAUGUCUUAUAGAAUGAAAGGUAGGGACUUUAAAUGGCCUCUAAAUAUAAAAUACAACUUUCAACAACGGAUCUCUUGGCUCUCGCAUCGAUGAAGAACGCAGCGAAAUGCGAUAAGUAAUGUGAAUUGCAGAAUUCAGUGAAUCAUCGAAUCUUUGAACGCAUCUUGCGCUCCUUGGUAUUCCGAGGAGCAUGCCUGUUUGAGUGUCAUUAAGUAACUCAAAAGUUUCUUAUGCCUGUUGGCUGAGGGACUUUUUGGACUUGGGAGCUGCCGGCUGCUAUCGUGGUGGGCUCUUCUGAAAAGCAUUAGUUGAGGAGCUUUGCAACUCUGUAUUGGUGUGAUAGACUAUCUAUGCCAGGAGAUGCUUCAUGAUACCUCUGCUGUCUAACCGUCCUGAAAGGGACAAGAUGACCAACUUGACCUCAAAUCAGGUAGGACUACCC
rnacentral:rRNA from 1 species